CUAACACCUAAGGGGACACGAAAAAAGAGCGCAACUUCUUCCUGAAAACACAAAGCUCGGAUAGGAAUUUUGAGAACCAAUUUCGAAGAGCAGCCAUUUUUCAGCUCCAAGAAAAGAGCUAGCUAAGAAAAAGAUUUCUCGAACUCAAAAGAGAACGAGCAGUAGCUUCGACCUCACUCUAAAAUUGACCCCCAAUCUUUCCUUUUAAAACCGUGCCUCCAAUCUUCCCCUUUCCUAAAACCCAAAUAAUUGAUGUCGUCAUCUCAUAUUCACAAAAUUGAUCGGAUUGCAAAUCACACUCUCGAAGUUCAAAGUCGCACUCGAUUAGUGAUAAGCAAAUAUCAGUGUGACGCCAAAAAUUGAAAGGGGAGAAGCAAUAACAAAGAAAUGGAAAACGGCAAAUAAAGAAAACGGAGGAGAUUUCUAUGGUUUGAUUAAUUCUUAAUCAAGUUUCAAGGAAAGAAAAUCAGAAAAAAUACCAAAAUAAAAUACAUUUUAGCCCCUUUCUUCUGAUUUCGGUUUAGUUAGUCGAUUGAGUUUGAGGUUGGCUUGAAUUUAUCACUGGAGUUUGCUCCCUUUGGCUUCGAGCUUUCGGGUGCCGAUUCGAAUGCCCGGCCGCGGUUCGUCGCAUUUCUGAGUUCAAAGCUACCGCACAAUUAAUUUUCUGAGUCAUUUGAGAUCCAGGAGUCUCGAGUCACGCUAGCGAGUGCUGAUUUGUCUUCCAGCAAGCUUCCGGAGUUGACUAGGUAGUGCUUGGUGUCCGCAGCCAAGUGCUUCUCCUUAUAAUCUGUAUUCCGCUUUGUUUCAGACUAUUUUGUCUUUUUCAUAUUUCUAGACGAGUUGUAGUGCUCAUGACUAGUGACACCCCGAUGUCGGGCUGUGUUUUGUUUCCGCACUAUUCUAUUCUACCUUAUAUUUUGGGAUUUUUAGCUUA